rnacentral:lncRNA from 1 species
ACAUGAGGGCUUCCCAGGUGGUGACCCAUCCGAGUUCUACUCUCGCCCAAGCACACUUAAUUGCGAGGUUCUGAUGGGAUCCGGAGCUUUAGUGCUGGUAUGAUCGCACCUGUUUAAUUUCGUGCUGCAAAUACAUACACUCCUUCUCAUUUUUUCCCCUCCCGUCAUUUGUUUCCUUGUGCGUUCACACUUCACCUCUCAUUCUCGUUCUAAUAUCGAUUAAAAUGCCCCUACUUCUUGACUCAUAUUUGCGUAUAAACCAGCGGACCCUAGUUCCAACGCGCGUAACGUCGAACGACCUGUCUGAAAAAAAAUUGGUGCGACACGAGGACUUCCCAGGAGGUCACCCAUCCGAGUACUAAUGUCGCCCAAGCACACUUCACUGCGGAGUUCUGAUGGGAUCCGGUGCAUUAGUGCUGGUAUUAUCGCACCUGCUUAAUUUUGCGCUGCAAAUACAUAAAUUCAUUCCCCUUUCUUCCCCCUCCCGUCAUUUGUUUCCUUGUGCGUACGCACUGCACCUCCUGUUCUCGUUCUAAUAUCAAAUAAAUAGCUACAGCGCCGUGACUCACAUUUGCGAAUAAACUUGAGGACCAUAAUUCAAGUCGCGCGUAACGUCGAAAGAAUCAUCUGCAAAAAAAUGAGUACAACACGAGGACUUCACAAGAAGAUGGGUGAAAUAUAAGGACUUCGCAGGAGAUAACCCAUGCUAGUACUACUCUCGCCCAAGCACCCUUACAUACGUAGUUCUGAUAGAAUCCGUUGCAUUAGUGCUGGUAUGAUCGCACCAGUUUAAUUUCGCGCUGCAAAUACAUAAACUCCAUCUCCUUUCUUUCCCCUCCCGUCAUUUGUUUCCUUGUGCGUGCGCACUGCACCUCUCGUUCUCGUUCAAAUAUCAAGUAAAAUGGCACGGCACCGUGACUCACAUUUGCGAAUAAAUCUGCGGACCAUAAUUAAAGUCGCGCGUAACGUCGACCGGCACAUCUGAAAAAAAAAAAUGGGUGCAACACGAGAACUUCCCAGGAGGUAACCCAUCAUUGUACUACUUUCGCCAAAGCACCCUUAACUGCUGAGUUCUGAUGGGAUCAGUACAUUAGUGCUGGUAUGAUGCCACUUGUUUAAUUUUGCGCUUCAAAUACAUACACUCAUUCUCUUUUCCUCCUCCUCCCGUUAUUUGUUUCCUUGUGCGUGCGCACUGCACCUCCCGUACUCGUUCUAAUAUAAAGUAAAAUGCCACGGCGCCGUGACUCACAUUUGCGAAUAAACCUGCGGACCAUAAAUCAAGUCGCGCGUAACGUCAAAAGAAUCAUCUGCAAAAAGAUGGGUGCAACACGAGGACCUCCCAAGAAAAUGGGUGAAAUAUAUGGAAUUCGCAGGAGGUCACCCAUCCGAGUACUUUUCUCGCCCAAGCACCCUUAACUGCGGAGUUCUGGUAGAAUCCGUUGCAUUAAUGCUGGCAUGAUCCCUCAUGUAUCAUUCUGCACUGCAAAUACAUACACUCUUUCUCCUCCCAUCCCCUAACCCGUCAUUUGAUUCCCUGUGCAUGGACUCUGCACCUCUCUUUCUCGUUAUAAUAUCAAGUAAUAUGCCCCGGCACCGUGACUCACCUUUGCAAAUGAACCAGCGAUUUAUAAUUCCAAUCGCGCGUAACGUCGAACAACCCAUCAGAGAAAAAAAAGGUGCAACACGAGGGCUUGCCAAGUGGUCACCCAUCCGAGUACUACUCUCGCCCAAGAACACCUAACUGCGGAGUUCUGAUGGGAUCCGAGGCUUUAGUGCUGGUAUGAUCGCACCUGUUUAAUUCCGCGCUGCAAAUACAUACACUCCUUCUCCUUUCUUCCCCCUCCGUCAUUUGUUUCCUUGUGCGUUCACACUUCAUCUCUACUUCUCGUUCUAAUAUCGAUUAAAAUGCCCCUGCUUCUUGACUCACAUUUGCGUAUAAACCAGCGGACCCUAGUUCCAGACUCGCGUAACGUCGAACGAUCCGUCUGAAAAAAAAUUAGUGCGACACGAGGACUUUCCAGGAGGUCACCCAUCCGAGUACUACUCUCGCCCAAGCACACUUAACUGCAGAGUUCUGAUGGGAUCCGACGCAUUAGUGCUGGUAUGAUCGCACCCGUUUAAUUCCGCGCUGCAAAUACAUAAACUCCUUCUCCUUUCUUUCCCCUCCCGUCAUUUGUUUCCUUGUGGGUGCGCACUGCACCGCCCGUGCUCGUUCUAAUAUCAACUAAAAUGCUACGGUGUUGUGACUCACAUUUGCGAAUAAACCUGAGGACCAUAAUUCAAGUCGCGCGUAUCGUCGAAAGAAUCAUCUGCAAAAAAAUGGGUGCAACACGAGGACUUCCUAAGAAAAUGGGUGAAAUAUAAGGACUUCGCAGGAGGUCACCCAUCCUAGUGCUACUCUCGUCCAAGCACCCUUAACUUGCGGAGUUCUGAAAGAAUCCGUUGCAUUGGUGCUGGUAUGAUUGCUCAUGUUUCAUUCUGCGCUGCAAAUACAUACACUUUUUCUCCCUCCAUCCCCCCUCCCGUCACUUGUUUCCUUGUGUGUGCACUCUGCACCUCCCGUACUCGUUCUAAUAUCAAGUAAAAUGCCACGACGCCGUGACUCACAUUUGCGAAUAAACCUGCGGACCAUAAAUCAAGUCGCGCGUAACGUCAAAAGAAUUCUGAUGAACCAUCCGAGUACUAAUCUCGCCCAAGCACGCUUAACUGCAGAGUUCUGAUGGGAUCCAGUGCAUUAGUGCUGGUAUGAUGCCACUUGUUUAAUUUUGCGCUUCAAAUACAUACACUCCUUCCCUUUUCUUCCUCCUCCCGUAAUUUGUUUACUUGUGAGUGCGCACUGCACCUCCCGUACUCGUUCUAAUAUCAAGUAAAAUGCCACGACGCCGUGACUCACAUUUGCGAAUAAACAUGCGGACCAUAAAUCAAGUCGCGCAUAACGUCAAAAGAAUCAUCUGCAAAAAGAUGGGUGCAACACGAGGACCCCAAGAAAAUGGGUGAAAUAUAAGGAAUUCGCAGGAAGUCACCCAUCCGAGUACUUUUCUCGCCCAAGUACCCUUAACUGCGGAGUUCUGAUAGAAUCCGUUGCAUUAGUGCUAGUAUGAUCCCUCAUGUUUCAUUCUGCAGUGCAAAUACAUACACUCUUUCUCCUCCUAUCCCCCCUCCCGUUAUUUGUUUCCUUGUGCGUGCACUCUACAUCUCUCUUUCUCGUUCUAAUAUCAAGUAAUAUGCCCCGGCACCGUGACUCACCUUUGCAAAUGAACCAGCGGUUUAUAAUUCCAUUCGCGCGUAACAUCGAACAACCCAUCCGAGAAAAAAAAGGUGCAACACGAGGGCUUCCCAAGUGGUCACCCAUCCGAUUACUACUCUCGCCCAAGCACACCUAACUGCGGAGUUCUGAUGGGAUCCGGGGCUUUAGUGCUGGUAUGAUCGCACCUGUUUAAUUUUGCGCUGCAAAUACAUACACUCCUCCUUUCUUCCCCCUCCGUCAUUUGUUUCCUUGUGCGUUUACACUCCAUCUCUCCUUCUCGUUCUAAUCUCGAUUAAAAUGCCCCUACUUCUUGACUCACAUUUGCGUAUAAACCAGCGGACCCUAGUUCUAGACGCGCGUAACGUCGAACGACCCGUCUGAAAAAAAAUUGGUGCGACACGAGGACUUCCUAGGAGGUCACCAAUCCGAGUACUACUCUCGCCCAAGCACACUUAACUGCGGAGUUCUGAUGGGAUCCGGCGCAUUAGUGCUGGUAUGAUCGCACCCGUUUAAUUCCGCGCUGCAAAUACAUAAACACCUUCUCCUUUCUUUCCCCUCCCGUCAUUUGUUUCCUUGUGCGUGCGCACUGCACCUCCCGUGCUCGUUCUAAUAUCAAGUAAAAUGCUAAGGUGCCAUGACUCACAUUUGUGAAUAAACCUGAGGACCAUAAUUCAAGUCGCGCGUAUCGUCGAAAGAAUCAUCUGCAAAAAAAUGGGUGCAACACGAGGACUUCCUAAGAAAAUGGGUGAAAUAUAAGGACUUCGCAGGAGGUCACCCAUCCUAGUGCUACUCUCGCCCUAGCACCCUUAACUUGCGGAGUUCUGAUAGAAUCCGUUGCAUUGGUGCUGGUAUGAUUGCUCAUGUUUCAUUCUGCGCUGCAAAUACAUACACUUUUUCUCCCUCCAACCCCCCUCCCGUCAUUUGUUUCCUUGUGCGUGCACUCUGCAUCUCUCCUUUUCGUUUUAAUAUCGAUUAAAAUGCCCCUGUUUCUUGACUCACAUUUGAGUAUAAACAAGUGGACCCUAGUUCUAGUCGCGCGUAACGUCAACCGACCCGUCUGAAAAAAAAAUUAAUGCGACACGAGGACUUCCCAGGAGGUCACCCAUUUGAGUACUACUCUCGCCCAAGCACACUUGACUGCGGAGUUCUGAUGGGAUCCGGUGCAUUAGUGUUGGUAUGAUCGCACCUGUUUAAUUUCGCGCUGUAAAUACAUAAACUCCUUCACCUUUCUUCCCCCUCCCGUCAUUUGUUUCCUUGUGCGUGCACUCUGCAUCUCUCUUUCUCGUUCUAAUAGAAAGUAAUAUGCCCCGGCACCGUGACUCACCUUUGCAAAUGAACCAGCAGUUUAUAAUUCCAUUCGCGUGUAACGUCGAACAACCCAUCCGAAAAAAAAUAGGUGCAACACGAGGGCUUCCCAGGUGGUCACCCAUCCGGGGCUUUAGUGCUGCUAUGAUCGCACCUCUUUAAUUUCGCGUUGCAAAUACAUACACUCCUCCUUUCUUCCCCCUCCAGUCAUUUGUUUCCUUGUGCGUUCACACUACACCUCUCAUUCUCGUUCUAAUAUCGAUUAAAAUGCCCCUGAUUCUUGACUCACAUUUGCGUAUAAACCAGCGGACUAUAGUUCCAGUCGCGCGUAACGUCGAACGACCCAUUUGAAAAAAAAUUAUUGCGAUACUAGGACUUCACAAGAGGUCAUCCAUCCGAGUACUACUCUCGCCCAAGCACGCUUAACUGCAGAGUUCUGAUGGGAUCAUGUGCAUUAGUGUUGGUAUGAUGCCACUAGUUUAAUUUUGCGCUUCAAAUACAUACACUCCUUCUCUUUUCCUCCUCCUCCCGUCAUUUGUUUCCUUGUGCGUGCGCACUGCACCUCCCGUACUCGUUCUAAUAUCAAGUAAAAUGCCACGGCGCCGUGACUCACAUUUGCGAAUAAACCUGCGGACCAUAAAUCAAGUCACGCGUAACGUCGAAAGAAUCAUCUGCAAAAAGAUGGGUGCAACACGAGGACCUCCCAAGAAAAUAGGUUAAAUAUAAGGACUUCGCAUGAGGUCACCCAUCCGAGUACUUUUCUCGCCCAAGCACCCUUAACUGCGGAGUUCUGAUAGAAUCCGUUGCAUUAGUGCUGGUAUGAUCCCUCAUGUUUCAUUCUGCACUGCAAAUACAUACACUCUUUCUCCUCCCAUCCACCCUCCCGUCAUUUGUUUCCUUGUGCGUGCACUCUGCAUCUCUCUUUCUCGUUCUAAUAUCAAGUAAUAUGCUCCGGCACCGUGACUCACCUUUGCAAGUGAACCAGCGGUUUAUAAUUCCAUUCGCGCGUAACGUCGAACAACCCAUCCGAAAAAAAAUUGGUGCAACACGAGAGCUUCCCAGGUGGUCACCCAUCCGAGUACUACUCUCGCCCAAGCACACUUAACUGCGGAGUUCUGAUGGGAUCCGGGGCUUUAGUGCUGCUAUGAUCGCACCUCUUUAAUUUCGCGCUGCAAAUACAUACACUCCUCCUUUCUUCCCCCUCCCGUCAUUUGUUUCCUUGUGCGUUCACACUUCACCUCUCAUUCUCGUUCUAAUAUCGAUUA